GUUACUCCCAGCAAAAGGGAAGAUUUGGAACAGAAAUCCAAAGACUUAUCCAUUUAUUUUGAAUACUACCACAACGGCUCUGCUUAGAAAAAAGGUUCACUGACUUUGUUCUCCAAAUUACUGGCUCAUCCAUCCUUGCCUCAGCUCAAGCACUGCUGAGAUGCCCAUCUUCCAGAUGUUCUCUGGCCAGAUGGGACAGGAGCCACAAUAGUGCUUUAUGUGAGUGUUGUCUGUCCCAGGACUAUGACUCCAGCAGAAGGUAACCGUGGUGAUAGAUGGUAACUAGACAUACUGUGGUGAUCACACCUCAAUGUAUACAAAUAUCGAUUCAUU